rnacentral:rRNA from 1 species
UACGUAGGGGGCAAGCGUUGUCCGGAUUUAUUGGGCGUAAAGAGCGUGUAGGCGGCUGGGUAGGUCCGCUGUGAAAACUCGAGGCUUAACCUCGAGACGUCGGUGGAAACCAUCCAGCUAGAGUCCGGAAGAGGAGAGUGGAAUUCCUGGUGUAGCGGUGAAAUGCGUAGAGAUCUGGAGGAACACCGAUGGCGAAGGCAGCCUUCUGGGCCAACACUGACGCUCAUGCACGAAAGCGUGGGGAGCAAACAGG